GCCUAGCUUGCUAGGUGGAUUAGUGGCGCACGGGUGAGUAAUAUAUAGAUAACGUGCCUCUUAGUCUGGGAUAGCCAUUGGAAACGAUGAUUAAUACUAGAUACUCCUUCUAACUCUAAUGUUAGUCGGGAAAGUUUUUCGCUAAGAGAUCGGUCUAUAUCCCAUCAGCUAGUUGGUAGUGUAAGAGACUACCAAGGCAAUGACGGGUAGCGGGUUUGAGAGGAUGAUCCGCCACACUGGUACUGAGACACGGACCAGACUCCUACGGGAGGCAGCAGUGAGGAAUAUUGCACAAUGGAGGAAACUCUGAUGCAGCAACGCCGCGUGGAGGAUGACGCAUUUCGGUGUGUAAACUCCUUUUAUAUGUCAAGAAAAUGACGGUAGCAUAUGAAUAAGCACCGGCUAACUCCGUGCCAGCAGCCGCGGUAAUACGGAGGGUGCAAGCGUUAUUCGGAAUCACUGGGCGUAAAGGACGCGUAGGCGGGAUGCCAAGUCUGAUGUGAAAUCCUAUGGCUU
rnacentral:rRNA from 1 species